CCCGUUUAUGGGGGCUGUGAUUUCAGGGCUUAUAUGGACGCUUUGCCCGGGAGGAGCCAGUAGCGUAACCGACCAUAUAUUAA
rnacentral:ncRNA from 2 species